ACCGUGCUGUUUCCUGUUGACUGCGCUCCUCACUGCCCUGGUGCUUCUGAUUCUUCUAGGUGUUAACGGUUUGAGGAUGCUGGGGAUUCUCCAUGAUGCAGUUGUGUUCCUCAUUGAGCAGCUGUCUGGUGCCAAGCACUGUCGAAAUUACAAAUUCCGUUUCCACAAGCCAGAGGAGGCCAAUGAACCCCCCUUGAACCCUCACGGCUCAGCCAGGGCUGAAGUCCACCUCAGGAAGUCAGCAUUUGACAUGUUUAACUUCCUGGCUUCUAAACAUCGUCAGCCUCCUGAAUACAACCCCAAUGAUGAAGAAGAGGAGGAGGUACAGCUGAAAUCAGCUCGGAGGGCAACUAGCAUGGAUCUGCCAAUGCCCAUGCGUUUCCGGCACUUAAAAAAGACUUCUAAGGAGGCAGUUGGUGUCUACAGGUCUCCCAUCCAUGGCCGGGGUCUUUUCUGUAAGAGAAACAUUGAUGCAGGUGAGAUGGUGAUUGAGUAUGCCGGCAACGUCAUCCGCUCCAUCCAGACUGACAAGCGGGAAAAGUAUUAUGACAGCAAGGGCAUUGGUUGCUAUAUGUUCCGAAUUGAUGACUCAGAGGUAGUGGAUGCCACCAUGCAUGGAAAUGCUGCGCGCUUCAUCAAUCACUCGUGUGAGCCUAACUGCUAUUCUCGGGUCAUCAAUAUUGAUGGGCAGAAGCACAUUGUCAUCUUUGCCAUGCGUAAGAUCUACCGAGGAGAGGAACUAACUUACGACUAUAAGUUCCCCAUUGAGGAUGCCAGCAACAAGCUGCCCUGCAACUGUGGCGCCAAGAAAUGCCGGAAGUUCCUAAACUAAAGCUGCUCUUCUCCCCCAGUG
rnacentral:sRNA from 1 species